ACUGGGCAUGGUGGCACAUGUCUGUAGUCCCAGCUAUUUGGGAGGCUGAGGUGGGAGGAUCGCUUGAGUUCAGGAGUUCUGGGCUGCAGUGUGGUAUGCCGAUCAGGUGUCCUCACUAAGUUCAGAGUCAAUAUGGUGACCUCCCAUGAGCGGGGGACCACCAGGUUGUGUAAGGAGGGGUGAACCUGCCCAGGACGGAAACAUAACAGGUCAAAACUCCCAUGCUGUUCAGAAAUAAUAUCCCAAGGAUAAAAAUGAAUGACAAGCAUAAUGAAAGAAAUACUGAGAAGGUCUA
rfam:Cavia porcellus supercont2_3 genomic scaffold, whole genome shotgun sequence.